ACCUCCUGUGUGCAUGGAUUACA
rnacentral:miRNA from 2 species